GAGGUACCAGUUUGGGACUGGAAAGAUAGAUAAAUAGACAAAGAAAACUCAGUGGUAGCAUGACAGAUGGGCAGAGCAGAGAGAAAAAGGACAGAUUCACUCCUGGCCUCGUUGAUCUGCCUGAUCCUAAUCAAAACAAACAGGAUCAAACAGGAGAAUCACCCAAGCCUGGGGCAGAGAGAGGACUGGGCAGAGAUGGCGGGGUGAGAUCAGGAGGCAGAACUCGUCUAUCUGUGCGGGCUGAAAACACCUGGUGUUUGCUUUCCUGGGGCUCGGUCAAGCGAGGAAGAAGAAUGCAAGAGGAAGGCUUCAGAGGCCAUGACCUCGACUUUGUUGAAUUUGGGAGCUCCGGUGCCAAGAAGGAAAGAACAUUUCUGAAGAAGUCAAGAGAAGCCAGUCAGCAUGUUCUCACACGCGUGGCAACACAAGAAUAACAAAGCCAGCAAAAUGAUAAAGGCAAAAGUCUCUGGAUCAAAGAGGGGUGUCUGCAGGAACAGAAUAAAUG
ensembl:lncRNA